rnacentral:tRNA from 1 species
UCCCUGGAGGACUAGUGGUUAGGCCAUGAUACUCUCACCGCUGUGACCCAGGUUCAAUUCCUGGCCAGGGGA